rnacentral:lncRNA from 1 species
AAAUGGAUAAACCCAAGAGAAGAUUCUUGCUAAGCAUUAGGUUUAGAGAGUUGCCUUUGAUAACUGUGACUUUAAGAACCUUAAGGAAGAGGGGCUGGGGAUUUAGCUCAGUGGUUCCACCGCUUGCCUUGUAAGCACAAGGACCCGAGUUCGAUCCCCGGUACCGAAAAAAAAAAAGAACCUUAAGGAAGAGAACGGAGCAGAAUCAGUGAGCAAGCAAAUGCUCAGUAGAUGCCAGGAAUACUCAAGUGGGGUCCACUCAAAUUCAGGUGUGUCUGCCAUCCUCUCUGUUCAUGCAGAGUGGAGCCUGGCAUACAUUUGGGGUUGUUCAGAAAGAAGCCCCACGAAGACCAUUUUUAAAAUACAGAGGAUCACUAUCCUCCUUUAUCCACAAUACAAGGAUCCUUAAGUUUAAAUUCAUACAUAUAUUUUUUUGGUACUGGGGAUCGAACUCGGGACCUUGCACUUUCGAGGCAGGCGCCAGAACCACUGAGCUAAAUCCCCGGCCCUAAAUUCAUAUUUUUUGAAAACCAAAAGAACAUAGCUAUUUGAUUAUAAAACUGGAAGCAUUUUUGGUUCAAGACUUUUCAAUAAUUAUUUGUUUGGUCAAAAUUAUUAAGUGGGAAGAAAAGCAGAAAUAAUAAAAUCUAAUAGUUUAAAAUGAAAUAUAAAUGUAUUUUAUUUCUAAGAAAAAUGAGGCUGUUGAAGCAAGAUUUUAAAGUGAUUUUUAGGCAGCCUUGGGAGGACCAUGAUAGACAUUCUUGAAAAUCCCAUAUAAAGGAUUUAAAAUUUUCUUUAUGAAGGAUUUAUAAGCAUUGGAACUUUGAGGCCUGACUUAGAAGUGAGAUCUCAUUUUGUUUCAUUUCAUUUUAGAAGAUGAAAUUUAGUGGGAUUUUAGCCUUUCAUUCAGUCAGUAUUAGGUUUAUGUUAAAUUUUUAAAAAUCAAUAUCAUGGGAAAGAUUUGACCAGUAAUUUAGUGUCUUGAACUGAAAAAUAGGAGUAACAUUUUGUCGCAUUUUGAAAAAUCUGCUUAAAUAACUGCAGCAGUUUUCUGGGUUCGGAGAUGGCUGUUCUAAUUGUCACUUUUAAGUGGGUCAUCGGGCUGGUUUACUAUCGGACUGUAAUCCGAGGCAGAGGUUUUAAUGUUUACCUACUUCCAGAUUUAAGAAAUGAAAACUACAUGAGGAUAUUAUGGGCAUUCUUCAUGAGAAAAGCAUUUCCUGGACAGAGAAUGGGGAUGUGUGAAUAGAAUGGGAGCUUUGACCUUCCCUGGGCACAGAAGUCACCUGGCACAUCCAGUGCAGGCUUGCGCUAUACCUCAGGACCACAUGCCCUCGUACUUCUUUUUCUUUAACACAAAGAACUCCCCCCCAGAGCUGUUAUUUUAAGUUAUUGCCAAAUAGUAUUUUGUGUUUUUCACCAUCUAGAGAGAAAACAUUAAAAGAGGACGUCUCCAUUUUUAUUUGUUAGAUAUGAAAUGCUGAAUUUUUUUCAGUAUUAGUAUUCUAAUGUUUCUUUUCGUGAAUAAAACUACUUUUACCUUUACUGAGUCUUUACGACCCACUGUCAACAACAGCAUAUUCUUUCUUUAAACCAGUGGUCCCAGAAGAGACCAUCUGAAACUCCAGCACUAGUUUUUAGAAGCUCUGACCUUGUUAUCUAAAUUCUAAGAAACCUAACGCAUGGUGUCUGGAAGAGCAGGGCAGAGCAGUAGUUUGUGCUCAGUUCAAUGAAAAGUGCUGGAGCUCCCCGAGACACUGCAUUGCCCGGACGCAAGCUCACUGGCUUUUGAGCCUGUGGUGCAGGCGGCUGCAAGUCUAAGGUGUUCUGUAUUGGUGUUGUGGUGAGAGUUGUACAACACUGCCUCUGUGUGUCAGGCCAGUCAUUCGAUUCACUUUUAAAAUGCACAUAUCUUUGGAGAGGCGAAUUAUUCUACACAAAUAUACCCUGGAGCCCAUCGUUUAGAAUCCAUAUAGAUCUAUUACCAUCUACACUAAAAAUAUUGUACUUGCAUAACUUAGUUUGUAGAAAACAGAAUAUGUAUUUCUUCAAUAGCCAGGUGUUUGGGUUGUACUCUCGAUAUACUUGAUUGUACUCUUGGGUUUAAGUGCACUAUUAUUCACGUCUUACACAUAAAAUUGCACUGUAUGGCGAAUGUAUCUUAACAUAUGCUUUGCUGAAACCUCAGAGCUAUAAGGUACAGGUUUUUAUAUUGUGAACCUAAAUGUGUAUGUAUGUGUGUGUGUGUAUGUGUGUGUGUGUGUUUAUAUAUAGCCUUAGGGAAAAUUCUGAACUUUUGUAAGUGUGUAACCUUUUAAUAUUCUUCGUAAUGUUCACUAAGUGAUAAGUUCACUUAUGUCCUGUAACUGGAAUCAGUCACCUGGAGUUGGCUGGUUUGUCGAGCUUAGUUUACUGAGUCAAGAAGCAGUCUUGUUGAAUGUGAUGCUGUUCUUACUGUGUAGUACUCGUGUGUGGUGUUCUCCCUCAGCCUCAGAGGCAAACAUGUUGCACAGAUAGAUGCUAGUGUUAAAGUUCUAUAGACAAUGGUAAUAAAAUUUGAAUAUAUUCAAUGCUGAUAAAUCCG